rnacentral:rRNA from 1 species
UACGGGGGGGGCAAGCGUUGUUCGGAAUUACUGGGCGUAAAGCGUGCGCAGGCGGUUUUGUAAGUCUGACGUGAAAUCCCCGGGCUUAACCUGGGAAUUGCGUUGGAGACUGCAAGGCUGGAGUCUGGCAGAGGGGGGUAGAAUUCCACGUGUAGCAGUGAAAUGCGUAGAGAUGUGGAGGAACACCGAUGGCGAAGGCAGCUCGCUGGAACGGUACUGACGCUGAGGCGCGAAAGCGUGGGGAGCGAACAGG